AAUGGAUUUAAGCCCCAUAUAUAAAGUAUACUUUUUUUAGAA
rnacentral:tRNA from 1 species